ACGAACAUCGAGGUAUAGGCAAUUUACGUGUUUCGGAAUUACGAACCUUCGAAAUAAAGAACCUUCGGAAUAAAGAAGUGCAACCAAAUAAAUUGGGUCCGUGGAUAAACAAUUGGAAAUGUAUUCACCGGCCAUUCGAUCCCAGUCUUAAGCAGGCAACAAUGUAUUAAAGUUGCCCUGCUCAGAUGUCUGAUACGGUUAAUAAUGGCUGCUAUUCCCCCAUAAUACAUUUGGGUGGUCUUUCACAAAGCUUUUACACAUAAUGGUUAAGCCUGACGGGGAAGCCUUUCUUGUGCAAGACUGGUAAACAUUUUUUUGUGCAAAAUUUCAUAACAUCAACCCCUCAUUUUGACAUACUUGAGUUAAUUUUCAGCAGAUCAAAGUUUGAACAUAUAUUUCAUUUAUUUUUUCUUUCAGAUGCUUGGCAAAAAUGAUAACUUUAUUGUACAACAAUCAGAUUUCACCUUUAGCUGAUUAGUAAUCAAAUGUAGAGGUGCUGUGGCUCAUUAUCCUGAAUCACAAGGUCUGGGGUUCAAAUCCCACUAUGGCACCUGCAUCCUUUAGCAAGACAUUUAUCUACAUUUGCCACUCUUCACCCAAGUGUAGUAAAUAGGUACCCAGUAGGAAGGAAUUCCUUGAAUGCUCUAGCGUCCGAUCAGGAUAGUCAUGCUAAAGCCGGGUUAAUAGUAUGCAGCACUUAGAAACAUUUAAAGCUCUAUAUAAAUGUUGCAUAUUAUUAGUAUUAGAAUGAGAUUAGCAUCCAUAACAGCUUUAUGAAAUAAAUAGCCUCAUCAUAUAGACAUUUUCACCCAUCCCCUUCAAUUAUACUUCCUAUAAUAAUGAGGUAUAGCAGUAACUAUAUGAAUGUACCUUGGUAUUAUAAUACAUGGGCUGCACAUAAUAUUCAAAGUGAGGGGGGGGGCAAAACUUGCAUCAUAACUUGAUGGUCACUGUGUGGAUGGUUAUUGCAAAACAGUUUGGGGGAGGGGGGCUGAAGCACCCACAUGCAGCCCCCGCCUCCAGCCAUCUUGCGGCCCCAGUGUGUUGCUUAGGUACCCAUCAUUUGAUUAUUGUAUUUGUUAUGUUAUAUUAUAUGACUCAGAAUCGACCUCUAUUCUAUAAAAGGUUUGAGCACAACACCAAAUAACACCACAAUAUACACUACACUUUGACAUCAUGGUCACAAAAUUAUCUAUAUUAUCCAUACUGUACAGGAAUGUAUAAACCAAUUGUUAUACUUUAAACAUCUGAUAAAUAUUACCCAUUCACACAGUGGUUUACACAAAACUUCAAAGGAAAAGUAUAACCAAAAAAAAAAAGUAUAUUUGGAAAAAAAAUA